rnacentral:sRNA from 1 species
UCCAUGUUGGUGGUGCCUUGGGAGUAGGCGUCCAGAAGGUGCUUGUGGAUCUCCUCCAUCCUCCCGGAUUGUUCAUCGUCUCUGUCCAUCUCUAUCAGAUCCUGCAGAAACCAAAGCUUAAUUGAAUAUGCUUGAAAACCGGUGUCUGCAAUACUGAUGGAAGAGGACUGUCCCGAUGAUUAGUAGGACGGUGAACCCUGAAGAUAUAGUAGCGUGCUUUAUGGUGAACACUCCAAGAGCUAUGGUCUGUGUCAAAACCAGGGCGAAAACCAAGGUGCUGUGCAUGAUUGGCCACAGUUUCCCUCCCAUUUCGUACUUUGGAAGGAAGUGUGUUCACCUGAUUGCGAUACACUAGGUAGCCGAGGCAAAAGUAGACUAGCAAGAAGGGCAGUAUGAGAGGUGCCAUUAUCGAAAAUGUGAAGCCAAGCAGGUUGAACAGGAGGACUUUCGGGACUUCAGUAUGGUAAGGGAAAGAGUAGCCAUAUUCUGGAUCAUCCCGGUAGCAAAAUAUACAUUUUCUGAAGAAGUUAUAUACUAAGUUGUACACUUGCAAUAUCUCGGAGCAUAGACUUGCCCAUCCUGAUGUGAGGACAUAAGUGAUGAAGAAAGUUGCCUGUAAAAUUCGGCAAGCAUAGAUGGCAUAUCCCUUGGUCUAGUGAAGACAUUUAGCUGAUUUAGCACGGAUCCUGACAGGACAUUGACAAAGAAGACGUUCCAGAUGGUAAAGAACAAAAUUUUGCAGCAAGCACUUUUUUUCCUGCCACUGCGAGAAAUCGAUCCUUCUAUGGAAGAGAAGAACAUCAUCAAUGGAGGAACUGUGUACAGGGACAGCAGCAGAACGACGCUAGGGAGGUAUCCCGUUACAAAAAGUCUGAACUUACUUCUUCAACAUGUUUUUCAGGCUUGGAAAUAGCUGCUCAAUCUGAUCCAGUUGCAUCAUGCUUUGGACGAAUGCAACGGGGACAAUAAAAACAAACAUGAAGGCAACACUAGCUGCAAGUGUUGCUAUUUUCCGGAGCCAGAUCUGUCUAUAGGGGAUCCAGAGGUUUGACCAAUAGACAUCCCUUGGCUCAGGAGCAAAAUCUGUCACCCAUAGCAUAGGAUUUGAAGAUUGAAGAAUUCGUGAAGCAACAAUUGCCGCAUAGCGAGUCUUGAAGAAUACUAUAGCACCUGGACAAUCCUGGAGAAGACCUUCUGAGCUUCAAUUACUUCUGGAUCACUUAGGUCUGGCUUCUUGGAAUUGAUGAAUUUAUUGCGAUAUUGCUGAAACGACGAAGCCCGUACUCCACAAAGACCACAUCUGGACAAGUCAGACCUUCUACUCUGUCCAAAUGAAGACAUCUUAACUCUUACAAAUUUCCUAUAUACCCUCUCUGCAUUAUCCUGAAGAAACAAACUUAUAUGCCUGAGGAGUAACUGGAUCCAUGAUAAUUAACAAAGAAAUUUCUGAUAGUGUCAUCAAGUAGCUCAUUAUCUGACUUUGGUAUUGAUCGAACAAUCACAGAAAAAUGACCCGGACCAGGUGCAUGCAAUCGUCCAAAAUUUUCAGCUAAUAUUAUUCUUUUGCGUGUAUCCAACUUCAGGUGAACAUGAUAUAUUAGGAAAUUGUUUCAAGAUUCAGGUGAACCGAGAUCUUACAUUCGUGAUCCUUCUUUGAGAUUUGCAAUUGUGAAUACAUUGAGAGACUCUGCUGGAAUACGUCCGUGAUUCGUUUCUUUCCCAUGGUAAUUAACAGGAAGCACUCCAAAUAUGCAAACAAGAGAAGUUAUCGAGAAGAUACGUAUGCUGCAGAAGAAACAAUGCGGAGGAACACCACGGAAUCCAAGCCAGCAACCCGUCGUAUCUCCUCUUCCGUGCACCAGUACGCUUUCACUAUCCAUCCAGCGGUAGGCAAGAGCCUCUCAAGCGAGAAGUAGUCGACCUGCUGCCGGAACUUCUCCUCGGCGAGCCGCCUCCCGAAGUAGACGCCAUAGUUGUGAGGCUGCUUCCUAAGGACUGAAUAGAGUGACAGGAAGAGCGCACAGAGGCCGAUGUUUAUGCCUGCCGAAGUCAGAAGGGCAGAAAAUUCCAUC